GACGAACGCUGGCGGCGUGCUUAACACAUGCAAGUCGAACGGAAAGGCCCUGCUUUUGUGGGGUGCUCGAGUGGCGAACGGGUGAGUAACACGUGAGUAACCUGCCCUUUACUUUGGGAUAACUUCAGGAAACUGUGGCUAAUACCGUAUAGGAGCUCCUGCUUCUUGUUGUUGGUUGGAAAUUUUCGGCGGUUGGGGAUGGACUCGCGGCUUAUCAGCUUGUUGGUGGGGUAGUUGCUUACCAAGGCUUUGACGGUUAGCCGGCCUGAGAGGGUGACCGGCCACAUUGGGACUGAGAUACGGCCAAGACUCCUAGGGGAGGAAGAAGUGGGGAAUAUUGAACAAUGGGAGGAAGCCUGAUGCAGCAAGGCCGCGUGCGGGAUGACGGCCUUCGGGUUGUAAACCGCUUUCGCCUGUGACGAAGCGUGAGUGACGGUAAUGGGUAAAGAAGCACCGGCUAACUACGUG
rnacentral:rRNA from 1 species